rnacentral:rRNA from 1 species
GACAGAGGUGCCGAGCGUUAGGCGGAAUCACUGGGCUUAAAGCGUGUGUAGGCGGAUUCCUAAGUACCUUGUGAAAUCCCAUGGCUCAACCAUGGAACUGCUUGGUAUACUGGGUGUCUUGAGCCAACUAGGGGCUACCGGAACAAAUGGUGGAGCGGUGAAAUGCGUAGAUAUCAUUUGGAACGCCAAUGGUGAAAACAGGUAGCUGGGGUUGUGACUGACGCUGAGACACGAAAGCCAGGGGAGCGAACGGG